AGGGAAGCUUGUCUAAAUCCUCCCGCCUGCAAGCUGCCCACUCCACACUCCAGUCUCCUGCGACCCUGCCUCCUGCCUCUCUCUCUCUCUCACGCCGCGCAGCCGUCUCUCUCCGGCUGCCUCUCUCUCUCUCUCUCUCGCCUUCCGCGGCCGUCUGUGGACUCUCUCUCUCGCUCUCUCGUUGCAAGCGGCAAGCCGUUGUGUCUCUCUCUCGUCUCCCGUCGUGUCCGGUGGUUUAACUUCACCGUCGUCUCCCUCACUUUCUCGUUGCAAGCGGCAAGCGGUCGUAUCUCUCUCUCGUCUCCCGUCGUCUCCCGUCUUUUCAGGUGGCGAAAGGGGCUUGGGAAGAAGCGGUAAUGGAGAGAAAUUCUGCUGCUUGUGCCAUGGAAUGGAGUAAUGAGCUUGAGAAGGCCCUCCGUUCCAAAAAACCUGGUCUAUCCAUUGAAACUAUAUUACAAACGGGGCCAAGGCUAGAGCGUUGGAGUAGAGAACCUGAACCUACUAUGGCAGUGUAUAACAUGUUUGGCUUAGUUCCAGGGGAGGAUAUGCUUUUUGCGAACACCAUUCUGUUACGGCUUGCUGAUGCUUUUAGGUUGGGUGAUAAACACACCAAAUUUGCUGUUGUUAGGAUUUUCCUAUCUGAGUGCAGGCAUCGUGACAAGAAGAAGAAAAGUAAAGGACACAAAGGGAUUUUGUCAAAGGUCAUGGUGCUAAAUCACUUAGAAUUAUUGACAAGAAUAAAGGUUGUUUUUGACUCCGGUGAUGUUGAGUCAAGAGCAUUGGCUUUAGCUCUCUUUGGUUGUUGGGCUGAUUUUGCAAAAGACAGUGCUCAGAUACGAUACUUGAUACUUUCUAGUCUAGUUUCUUCUCAUGUUUUGGAGCUGAAAGCGUCAUUAUUUGCAGCCGGAUGCUUUUCCGAGUUAUCAGAUGAUUUUGCGUCUAUUUUAUUAGAGAUGCUGGUUAAUAUGGUGACUUCAUCUGAAACACUGUCUGCUGUAAAGUUAGCUGCAGCACGAGUUUUUGCAAAAAUUGGGUGCUCAUAUUCAGUUGCAAAUAGAGCUUACAAGACAGGUCUAAAGUUAAUGUUGGACUCUUCAGAAGAGGAUGUUUUGGUUGCUUUGCUGGUAUCACUCUCAAAAAUUGCUUCCAAAUCAAUGAUUCUUAUUUCUGAACAGGUGGACGUGCUUUUCUCAUUUCUUAAACAAGAAAAGACACCGCGUAUGAAAGCAACAGUAUUAAGAUGCUUGCAUUUCAUUUUGAUAAAAGGAUUAUGUCAUUUUCCUGUGAGUGCAGAUCUAGUCAAAUCAUUAUUGAGCACAAUGAUUGAGCCCGAACUUCCCACAUUUAUGCAAUAUGAAGCUCUACAGAUUCUACAUAAGGGGAAUGUGCAGAUCCUUCCAUAUAUGCUACCUCAUUUGCCCUGUCUGGACCUGCCCGAAUUUGCUAACCUUUUAACCAUUGCUGAAAAUUCCUCCCAAUUUCCAAUCACGUCGAAGAGCUUCUUAUCCAUCCGUGUUCUGGUGGAUAUAUCAAUCAAGCUUAGGGAAAGAAUGGAAAUAGAAUCUAGUAUGUUUUGUUCCUCUCCUCUGCCAUCAAGAGUGAUCUCAUUGAUUAUAGACCAGAUGACGUUGCUGAUAAAUGAUCUUUGCCAGAUUGACUCUCGAGUGUUUCAAGAAGUUCAUAGUCUGCUCCACCUUCUUGCUCUUUUGGUUGGUGAGCAUCCGGAUCUGGGUGUUUUGGUGCUGGACAAGAUCUGUUUAUUUGUUGAGUGUGUUGCAAAUAUGCACGAACAUGUCCUGGCUAAAAGCCAAUCAGAUACACUGGUUCUUGAGAUGGACUUCAAAAAAGAGAAGAGCACAGUCGUUAGGUCAAAACUUGUACUUAUUGCAUUCAGAUUUCUGGUUGCCUGUCUUGAAAAUCUCAAUGAAGCUGGUGUUCUCACUUCAAUAGCAUUUGAAAGAGUGAAGCUCCUGGUUGAACGGGUGUGUCAGUGCAGCUUGUUUGAUUGCUAUACACAUACAAUCUACUCUCUUUUGUUCCACAGUCGAUUCUUUUGGGAUUGCUUGGUGGACGAAAGUGAGGGAACUUGCAGUCUUAAUAAAAACUUUUUUAAUUAUUACUUGGUUGAGAAAGAAAUUCUUGCCCUAGAGUGUGCAAAUAAGAUGUUGAAGGAGAGGUAUAACUGGCCUGCUUACAGAGCUGGGACAUAUGCAGCAUGUCAGGGAGCAUGGUUCACAGUGGCUUUCAUAUUUGGGCAGUUAAUAACAAAGGUUCAGUCUGAUAUCUUCCACUGCUGGUUAACAUCGAUAAUUCAAUUGGCUCGUUCUGAGAGGAAAAUCCAGCUAUUGCUUUUACCAAAACAAGGGUCUACUUUAGUAGAUUGGUUAGAAAAGAACAAAUUUCCUGCCAGUCAUGCUUUGGGUGAAAUCAGCAGGGAUACUGCUGGAAAUAGUAGUGAGCCUAACUACAGUGAAGAGCUUCUGGAGGCUUAUGAGGAUAUCUGCUCUUCAGGGAAAACAUUAGAAGCUGCUGUCACAUCGGGUCAAGAAUUUUGUUUCCAGAGAUGGUUUCUGCAUCUAAGAGCUAAACUUUUAAGAGCUUUGUUGGAUAUACUCAGAAUUUUCAGAAUCAUCCCAUUCAACCCUGACAGCAUUAGCAACAAUGGAGAGGUGGAGAAGAGUGUAUUUGAGUGCCUGAAGUCUUUGCCAGAAAUUAUCCAGAUUUCUUUGCAGUUUAAGAAGCUAGCACAAGAAUUUGAUCUAAUUGCCACAUCUUUCAUAGAUAUGGAUUGCAAAAGUUCCAAAGUAAUUUCAUCACUUGCACUAAGUUGUUCGCUUUUGGCCUUUAGUACUGGCUUCAUACUCUUUCUUCCAAAUCUUCCUGCCUAUGAAACUUUUACAACUUGUGGUCUGAGAAACUCGGAAAACUGUUUACAUGCAAUGUUAAUACAAGAUUUAGUUGGGCGUUUGUGCCAUGUAGACCAUGAGACAAGUAGAAAUCUGUGUCAGCUUUUUGAUGUUAGUGGACAGGUUAAGAGCUGUUUUCACUUGCAGUCUACAAAUAAAAAUUUGAAGGUUGGAUGUGAAGGAAAGGAUAUUAUUACUGUCUGUAGUUAUGCUGUUUUGGAGGCUGUUCGUUUGCAAGAGGCAAAUAGAGAGCAUAACGAGGAGAUUUUAUCCCAAGUUACCAAGGGGGGUUUACAACUUCUGUUGAGCAUUAUAAUGAAAUGGAUACACGUUCCUUUUCGGACUCCCAAAUAUUUCUUUAAAGUAAGGAGUUGCAUUGGAUCAGAGCUCUUUGCCUGCAACUCGGACACUAAUAACCCAGAUGGCAUAUCUGUAUUAUCAGGCUUCCACCUAUCGCUAAACCUUUGUCUUCAACUGGUUAACUUGCCACCAGAUCUCCCAGCUCGGCUAACAAAGUUAUACUGCAUCCUUUAUUGUAGUGUUUCCUUUCAGGAUCCCAGACCAAGUGAGGAAGACAAGGAGCGAAAGCAGUGGGGUUGUCGAGCUUGGGAAACUGAUGACAUGGUAGAAAUCAAUGAAAUGCUAUUGCAUUAUGUGACAAAUUUAAGUACCAAAAGGAGUAAUAAUAGUAAGCGCAGAAGGUGUGAUAACAAGAAGGACGGGGUUGUUUAUGCAUUUGCGCAUUUUGAACCAGAUGAGAGAGGCCAAGGAUUUGCAAGUUGUUUGCUUGAUAUUUCUGGUUUUCCAGUAGGCUCUUAUAGAAUUAAAUGGCGUAGUUGUUGUCUGGACAAUCAGGGUUCUUAUUGGAGCCUCGUUCCUUUAAAUGCUGGACCUAUAGUUACAGUACGGAGAUCUCCAAUUGGCAGAUGAUUUUUGUAAUGAAUUUGGUGAGGCUGAAGUUCAAGAGGUAUUCAAGUUCAUGGCUACUAUUAUUUUUUGAAGCAGUUCCCAAAGCAAGGUCUGAAAUUCAAUCAGAGAACAGCUGAGCCACUGUUGCUCUUGCAGAACAGCAGAGCCACCAUCGCUUUUGCAGAACAACGUAAACAUCAAUCCACAAAGGGUUUCCGUUCUGGUUGCUCUUAAUCUGUUUGUUUCUUGAGAAACCCAAAGAGAAAGAGAUUGGAAGUAACUGGACUGAACGUUGGAGGUAAGCUCUUCUCUCUGUUUUGUUUUAUUCCUUUUGAUUUCCUCUUCAAUGUAAAGGGCAUCUUGCAUUUGGUGAUUUUCAAAGUUUAGGAGUGGUAGUCAUUGUCUGAUUGAAGUUCUGAAUGAAUAGCCAAAUAUAAAAGAAAACGUUGUGUGUAUUUUGGGGGGUUUCGACCAUCGCUUGCAUCUCUAUAUAACUCAACGCAAUUAAGCCUCAUACCAUCUGAAUUUGCCCACUUGCAAAAGUAUCAUAACCAUAUUGAGCAUGUGAUUGGGUCUUUUUGCAUAAUUGGCUGAGCUGAAUAAGCUCCUCUAGCAACAUCUUGGCAUGUGUAUAAAUAUGUGGAGAGUGAUAAAAGUUUGAAGUAGGCUACAUAUCCUUGAGUCUUCUAUGCACUUUGGUAUUGUUUUAUUGCCUUUUCUUUUUGGGGAAUUUAUAGGUUGCUGUGCUGUGACGAGAUGACCUUAAAAUAGUGAGGAGUUAAACUCUGUGAAGUUGGUUUCUUCGAAAAAGUGCUAAGAUGACUUGUUUCUGUAAUUGAAGAUAUGAGUCAACUUGAUGUUUCAUGUCUGUACAAUAAUGAUAUGAAAUUUGCUCUUUGAUUAGAAGGGUGAAAUAUAUUGCUUUAUAUCUUAAUUUUCAGCAUUACGUGUUGGUUUACUAUUGGCUUCCAUCUUAGAUAUCUUCCUUUCUUUGUAUAUGGGUUUGAUAUAUUAUCUUCUCCUUAACUUUUUGGUGUAACAUCUGAAACAUGCAUCGCUUCCCUUCUUCUCCUGGUGUUUGAAUGUGAGGGGAGGGGAGUCAAUUUAUGCUUCAUUAAGGAGUUUUUAAAUCUUGUGCUAUGAAGAGAUUAACUUUUAAGUGGGUUGAGUCAUGACAUUGGCUAUUACUGAUAAGAGCGGGAAAGCUAGUAGAUCAAUUUGGAGGCAAUGCCCAGAUUUCAAAUGUUCAGACUAAAAUCCCAUGCAUUGUUUUCAACGAGGAAGAAAUCAUGGUUUCAAGUUAUGAAGUGACUGCACAACAUGAAAUAAUAGAGCCUCCCUGUGGCAAGUCAGAACCUACUUAGGUGUUUUGAAGAUGAGCUAUGUAAAUGUUAAUUCAAUGAAGAAAUUGCUUUUAGUGCUAUUGUGGGUGAGGAGAGUUUGAACGAAGUCUUGCUAGCAACCAGGUAGUUGGGCUUUAAUAUAAAUUUGGACUUUUAUGUACCCUUGAGCUACUAUUGAUAAAGCAUCGGUGGGUUAUUUAGGUCUUUUAUGGUGCUUAAUUGUCACUUCGCUUUCGUUCUUAAUUUGGCUUUCUAAUAUGUUUUGAUUAGGAUUGAGUAGAAAUAUGCAGUACAAUUGAAGCACACCACUUUGAGACCUAUUAACUUGAGACUUGAGUUGCUGAUAUUUUAGGAGAAGUGUGCCCUAUGUUUUAUGUAGAAACCAUCUGGCGUGGCAAAAGUUCACUAUUGCCUUUGGUUUACUAUGAAGAGCAAGGAGCUCGAUACUUUUAGGUUUGUAUUUGUUAUGACAAAUGGAAUUUCCUAAAUCGUUAACAGAAUCAUGUAAAGUGUUAGAGAAAAUGGUUUUAGUUGGGGAAUCUCCCUGCUGAUGUAUUAUAGGAAUUCCUCUGAAAGAGAUGUGUGUAUUUUGUGUGUAUAUAUGUAUCCCUGUAUGUUGCACUAUAGAAGAUAGUCAUUGACAGAGAAAGGAGAGAUUGAUGGUGCUCAAUACAGUUAGAGCUAUUGUUGGCAAUACAGAGUCACUUUAAGAAAGAGAGCUUGAUGCUACAAUAGCUGCAAGGGUAAGAAAGAACUUGAAUCUUAAUUCUUAAUUUGGGUGAAGAACUUCAGUAGAGUUACCUAUAUGUCUGUAUGAUAUUUUCUUUAAUCAGUACCUCUCUCUUUGUGUCUAGUUAUCUUGUGAACAUAAUAACGAUAUGUUUUUCUUAGGUAGGUUUGCCUCAAUAUGAACAUGGAAGUCACCUUCCUGAUCUAGAGUCCAAAUUUUUCCAACUUGAUCCUGUACAUCCUGCUGUAUACAAGGUAAUUUAUUUAGGAACUUAGUUAUGGUAUUACAUUGAAUUUAUCAUCUUUUAUAGUGUUUAAAAGAAAACUAGUCUUGCACCUAAUACUUUAUUUCCACACUAACUGUUUACUAGAGCAGUACAUGAAAAUACUACUGCAUUACUGCAUUUAGUGUAAGCGCAGCGGAGUGCUGUGUACUGGUUUGUAUGGUCACAUGUCUGUAUGGAUGCCUUGUUUCCAAUCUUUAUUCCUGGUGUGGCAUACUUAGCUUAGGCUGCAUGUGGCUGUAAGUAUGUAACAUGGAUAAUAACCUACAAACAAAUGUCACAUUUCUGUAGUAACUGAAAUGACUCCAAUCCAAAAAGAGGGAAAGGAAUCUGUUUUCAAAGGUAAACAUUUUUAGAGAUGAAGUAUUAGACCAAUAUACUCUCUUCCCAGAACUUAAAUGAGUGUAUAUCUAUGAAUCCUUGAUAUCUUUAUUGCCUUGAACUUGUGGAGACCAUUUUGUCUUAUCUUUUUGCAAGAAGGUUCUAUUUGUCUGGUCUUAAGCCCCACCUAACACAACACAAUAACACAUAGUCUGAGAAUUAUAACAUAAAUGAUAUCAUUUAUGGCAGAAAUUCAAAUGGAGGCAAAAGAGUAAAUAAUAUACUGGUAGUCAUUUCAUUUAUCGAGUCUGUGAUAAGACAAAUCUUUGUAUGGGUAGUUCUUUUCAUAAGUUCGACUCAAUUAGGGCCAAAAAACAUGACAGGCAUGUCUCAUUCCAAUGCUUUGGUUGGUUUGAGAUCCAAAUUUACAGGAUCUAGAUACAUGGUGGCAACUUCACAUUGCCACCAACAUACAUGGUGUACAUUCUUUUAACUUGAUGUCAAAAUAACUCGAGUCAUUUUUUUGCUAUUGUAGGUGCCAGCUAUUAUAAGUCUUAAGGGUCAUCAAACUUUAAUUUGCCACUAAAUAUACAAGAGAGAUAUUUCCCUUCACAAACAACAAUCUGCCCUUUCCCGGCUUCUACUAAUAUAUUGUUGAUCCUUUUCCUUUCUCUUAUAUAUGCUGAGAUUUUUUUUUUUGAUAAGUAUAUAUGCUGAAAUUGUUAUAUAUAUAUAUAUAUAUAUAAGACUUUUUUGGUCAACCAAACCAUGAGAACUUUAAAAAUGGAUACCAAUCUUAUAAAUUGGUCAGAUUAGAUUUGUUUAUGUCCAGUAGAAUUAGAGCAUGUUUGGGAUUGUGUUAGAGAGUUUAAAAAGUACUUUUAGUAUCUAAAAUGUUGUGUGAAAUAAAAGUUGGCCUUUUUGGUAAAAAAUUUCAAAAGUAUAUAUAUAUAAAAACUAGUCAAAUUAGUAUAUAUCAAAUUAGAACUAGUCACUGAUCCCAGCAUUGAAGUAUUGAAAAAACUCAUAUAAGCAAAAAAUCUCAAUUAUCCUUGAUCAUGAGACAUAUAAUUAUCACUAUAAAUAAGAACCAUAAUUCCAACAGUAGUAAUUAAGAUUGACAUAAUAGAAGUGGAUCGAUCAAGUAGGUGAACUCUAAAGAAAAGUCAUUAUUGAUGGUCCAAGACCAUACAUAUUGAUAGAUAUAACUGUUAUUUAUUUGCUGAAUAGGCGGAUUGGCUGAAAAAAAUCAUAACUAUACUUAACAAUAAAACACUAGGAAAAGCCCACAUGCGGCGAAGAUUUUUUGUUCCCUUGGGGAAAAGGAGAAGUCCCACUCCUAUUAACAUAGGAAUUAUAACUGGAAUGAAAGGUAUGAUCCAUGAAUAUUGAUAUGUAUAUUCCAUAAAAAUAAAUAAAUAAAAAUCUUUUAUUCUUAAUUAACUGUUUCUGAUUCACCAGCUCUUUUUUUUUUUUUUUUGAAAGGAAUCAGUUAAUAAAAAAAUUAAGAUAUAUAAAACUAAAAUAAAAUUUUAUAUUCUUAAUUAUUAUAAAUUUUUUCCAAAUACUUCAAACAAAACAAGAUAUUUCAAAUCAAGAAGUUUGAAUUGGUCAAAUGAGAUGACCAAGCUACUAUUGAAAAAUAAAUACUUACCUCUUUUUUUUAAGUAAGAUUUUAUGAAGCUACAAAAAAUAAAAAUUUCUAUUAUUAUUAUUAUUACAAUUUACAUAAUACAAUAUUUUAACAAUAUUUUAAUCUCGGGAGAGAGUAAGGACAAAUAAUUACACCAAAAAGAGUAUUUUAUUUUGAUAUGAUUUAUAAAAGAUAGACACAGUCCAUACAUAACUUAACUACAGGAAAUAAGAGCUAUUUUUUUUAGUUCGUUUAUUCAGAAUCAUUAACCAAUGCAGUUUUGAAUUGAUUGAAGGAAUUACUAAAAUAAAAUGACUUUUCUUUAGAAAAAAAUGAUGUAUACUUUAACACAUUAACUGCGAGUCUCAUUUGAAUUUGAAAAUUUUAAUUAGGUGCACUCUUUUUCGAGUUUGACUAAUUAAGCAAUUAAAAAAAGAUUAAGGAAAUUAAGGGUAUAUAUAAAAACUUUUUUACUCUAAAAAUGGUCAAAACACAUUUUUGGCAGAAGCUUAAAAAUGAACCUUUUGCCAAAAAGCAAUUUUUAACUUAAAAGCUCUAUUUUUCGAGCGCAAUCCUAAACAUACUUUUAGUAGUCAUAUAAGGAUAAAUAUGAGUUUCAUACCUUGUGAGCAAGUUGUAAGGUAUCAAAUAUAUUACUUACUGCUUCUCUCACUUGGGAUUGGCUCCAUUUCUUUGUUGCUUUUGUAGAUGAAAAAAAUUCAAGCAGCAGUUAUGGCUGCGGUUGUAUCUAUCCUUGAUUCCUUCUUGUUGAGUCUGUAAUCUAGGCAUUAAUGCUUUCUGUUUGAAUUUAAAAUUAAUGUCAAAUUCCAUAGUUUAUAAUGUAAUUAUCUCAAAAGAACAAUUUCUUUUGUGAAAACUUGAUUGUAAUAUUUAUGUUUGAAUUUGUAUGAUAAUAUUUAUGAUUGAACUUUUGUCGAUAAUUUGAAUGUAUUGUUUGAUGUUA